UCGGAACGACUCUCGACAACGGAUAUCUUGGCUCUCGCAUCGAUGAAGAACGUAGCGAAAUGCGAUACUUGGUGUGAAUUGCAG
rnacentral:rRNA from 1 species